rnacentral:misc_RNA from 1 species
CGUGUGGGCCAUCCACUGGCC